CAGGCCUCCUGUUAGUUGCACAAAGCAGUUUGUCAGGUCACACAUUAGCUAAACAUUGAAUAGCUAAACAUCAGAUGGUGUCCUUGCCUUGGACUUAGGUCCUCUUUCUUCUUUUAAUAUCUUCUAAUGAGAGUGUUCGCUGGAUUUAAGCUGGUCUCCAUGAAGUCUUGGCCUGGAGUUUCUGCCAUCGGUGGGUGGUAAGCCAUAUCCCACUAUUGUGGAGCCACCAGAGCAGGGCAGAAAAGAGGAUAAUAUGUGUGACUCCCAAAAGAUGGAUUGAACUGGAGGUCUGAAGGUCAACUUGCUUAAGGUCUGAAUCUCAUAAAGGAAGAGGCAAGUAUAAGAAAUGGACCCUGUCUUUGAAGAAUAAAAUGUACCUUCCAGAACAGGAAGUGGUGCUUUCACUUUUUGCUGUUUCUUCAGCAAUUAUCUGAAUGGGUCAUAUGGGUUUUCUUCUAAAUUGUGAAUCUUUCCCUAGUCUAUAGCUGCUUUGUGAAGAGUGGAAGUGGUGGA